ACUGCGGCCUUUGAAGACCGUAGACCCGAGGCCCCCACCGGUCCUAGGGGUGCCGUGCGCCCUCCAUGCCCAUCCUUCUGUCGGUUGGGUUAUGUGUUACUGAAAGAGCCUGUGUGUUCGGAAAGAACCCAACACUCGUGAUUCUGGGAGGCGGUUGCUGGGUGGUGUGACACCUCACAAGCCUCGGGGCGGAAACGCGGCCUCACCGAUGCCAGCCCGGAGCUGCGUUUCCUGUCUGGGAGCUGUCAGCUCCGUCUGCGGACCUGUCUUCCUGCCACCCUUACCUCGCCCGUACCUCAGCGAGAAUCUGUAGCCUCCUUAUUUCUUGUGCAGACAGUUGCCAGGCCUCCCUCUCUUCCUGCAGCGCUGCUGUCCACCCUUCUCGGAAGCCAGAGGAACAAAACACUCUUAAGACAUCACAAAAGGAUCCCAUUUCCACCGCAGUCCCGUGCGGCGCGGUGCCAGGCCUGGCCUUCCCUGGAUUCCGGCUGCCCAUCACGGGCAUUACUUCCGGAGCUACCAGAACUAUUUGAUGAUGGUUCCAAAUCCAUGUACAGGAGACACUGCAGCGGGGAUUGCCGUGGAACCAGGCAGGCCCGGGUGCAAUCUGCAUUGAACGCUGUGGGGAAGUUUGGACCCAGAGGCGCACAUACAGGAAGAGACGCAGACUCAUCGACAAGCCAAGAGGGAGCCCGGAGCGACCUCCCCCUCAGCCUCGGAAGGAGACACCUGGGCCUGGACGUUCCUAGGGACCGUGAGGAAACAGUGCCUGUUGUGUAACCUCCCAGACUGGGGAGCUGGUCCCAGCCCUAGCAGGGCCGCCCAUGUUUCCUCAUUCACUGACAACGUUUCACGGUUGCUAGGGUGAGCUGGAGAUGCGACGACGAGGAUACACGUUUCCUGUCCUUUAGGCUUCGGGGUGGGGGCUGGGGGGAGCACAAUUACUUAAAAAAAACCAUUUGGGUGCAGUGUGGCUGGUGUUCCAUUGCCUUGUUUUUCUGGAAAUACAUUUUCAGCUUUGAUUUUAAGUUGGUGGCAAAACACACUUCUGCCAAGAAGGAAUCAUUCUCUGCAGAACGGGGCGAGGGGCUGUUGGGCCUCCCUCAGCCUUCUGCCCCCUGUCCCCUGACCUACUCCCCGUCCCUCUGGCCGCCCCGUCCUGCGCCCACAGAGUCCUGGGGAAGGAGAAUCCGGGCCUGGGCAGCUCAGUCCGCCCCACCCGCCUGCCUCCAGCAGCCCAGUGACUUCCCAGUUUCCGAAGAGAAGUCCAGCUCCCGCGGUGGCAACACCCGGGCCCAGCUCCUGCUUCGGCCACGCUGGCCUCCCGCCCGGCCAGGGCCUCGGCUUGUGGUUCCUCCUGCCGGAAUCUCUUCCCUCCGUGCAGCCCGGAUUCUAGAAGCUGAGCAUUUACCUUGCAAUCACCUGGCAACCAGCGUGGGGGACAAAAGCCACACGCAAAGGAUCGCUAAGCAGAAGGCUAGAAGGAGCCGGAUGGCCCCCGGCUGCCUUCACACACCUGAACCAUCCAGCCUCAGACUCCUCGUGUGGGGCGCAGAAGCCAAAGCAGCCGUGGCGCGCUGAGCCAGUCUGUCUGGCGUGACGUUACCCUCAGCCAAGUGAGAUGCUAAUGGUCCCACUGCGACACGGAUGCUUCUUCCAGAUGCCCCGAUCUCUCCCACACGAGAAAAAGGACGUCGGGCGCUCUUCUUGCCCCAAAGGAUGUGAGCUCUUUAUUCUUGGACCUCAUCGCACUCUGCACCCCCGGCAGCCCCCCGGGUGUCUGUGCACAUCUGUUCUUGCCCUCCUGGCUCUACUGGAGACACACAUUGAACAGCAAAGCUGCUCGCUUGGUGCAGUGUCGGUGUUGAGCCCCACACGGUCCCUGACGCAGCGAUGUCUGACUCAGCCGAGUGGGUCUGGGCUGAAAUUCCAUCAUGAACUUCUUUCCUGAAAAUCCGCAUCAUUUUGUGUAUCUCCUUGAAACUUAAAGGAGUUGCUGGUGAGCUUCUCCGUGGAAGGACUUGUUUUGUUUGAAGUCCAAGGAGGCCACACAGGCCAGUCAGAGUUUGUUCUUAAGCAGAGGAAACCCCUGGAAGGAAGCACAUGACGUGGGUGUGGAUGAAAUACAGGGUAAGCGAUGCAGGUCUGAGCCUGUGGCCGAUGAACACCGGGCCGUAGACAUACUCCCUCGUUUCUAAUAGUAAUUUUUCACUUCUUGUUGUAAAAAUGAAAAUCACAACAGAGCAAAGCUGUGGCCGUGCUCGACACGUUGUCACGUGCUGUGGAAACGCAUCUUCAAGGACUAGCAACAGCGGGACAUACAUACUAACAGCUGGCACCCCGACCGUGUUCUUUCUUGAUGCGGCCGAUGGGAUCAGCGCCACUGGGAAGAGGAGGAAACUUGGGUCAUGAGGUCGCCCCGCUCCUCCAGGUAGAGUUCUGUCUUGGACGCGGGGCUCUGGUGCCACCUCCUCGCUGUGCCCACACCGGCCUCUCCGGAGGAGAAUCUGGACUUCACCGAAACCAGGAGGGUCCCGAACUCCAGCCACGCUCUGGUUGCGCACGUUCAUUCCCGCUGAAUAUAUUCCACCAGAAA